CCUACGGGAGGCAGCAGUGGGGAAUAUUGCGCAAUGGGCGAAAGCCUGACGCAGCGACGCCGCGUGAGGGAUGAAGGUCUUCGGAUCGUAAACCUCUGUCAGCAGGGAAGAACGGUCACUGUGCUAAUCAGCAGUGAAUUGACGGUACCUGCAAAGGAAGCACCGGCUAACUCCGUGCCAGCAGCCGCGGUAAUACGGAGGGUGCGAGCGUUAAUCGGAAUUACUGGGCGUAAAGCGCUCGUAGGCGGUAUGUCAAGUCAAGGGUGAAAUCCCCGCGCUCAACGUGGGAACUGCCGUUGAAACUGGCAAACUGGAGUGUGUGAGAGGAUAGUGGAAUUCCAGGUGUAGGAGUGAAAGCCGUAGAUAUCUGGAGGAACAUCAGUGGCGAAGGCGACUAUCUGGCACAUAACUGACGCUGAGGAGCGAAAGCGUGGGUAGCAAACAGGAUUAGAUACCCCAGUAGUC
rnacentral:rRNA from 1 species